GUUUCUGAAAGAGGUAUUGAAGUUGAUACAGCCAAGGUUGAUGCUAUUGAAAAGAUGCCAUGCCCCAAGGACAUCAAAGGUAUAAAAAGUUUCCUUGGUCACGCCAAAUUUUAUAGGAGGUUCAUUAAGGACUUAUCAAAAAUUUCUCAGCCUCUGACUAAUUUAUUACAAAAAGGUAUACCAUUUGUAUUUGAUGAUGAUUGUGUAGAAGCAUUUGAAAUACUUGAGAAAGCAUUGAUCUCUGCACCUAUUGUUCAGUCACCUGAUUGGAAUUUACCCUUUGAAAUUAUGUGUGAUGCUAGUGAUUAUGCUGUAGGUGUUGUUCUAGGGCAAAGAGUUGAUAAUAAAUUAAACGUUAUUCAAUAUGCUAGUAAAACCCUAGACAAUGCUCAAAGAAAUUAUGCUACUACUGAAAAAGAAUUCUUAGCAGUUGUAUUUGCUUGUGAUAAGUUC
rnacentral:rRNA from 1 species